GAUGAACGCUGGCGGCGUGCCUAAUACAUGCAAGUCGAGCGAACGGACGAGAAGCUUGCUUCUCUGAUGUUAGCGGCGGACGGGUGAGUAACACGUGGAUAACCUACCUAUAAGACUGGGAUAACUUCGGGAAACCGGAGCUAAUGCCGGAUAAUAUUUUGAACCGCAUGGUUCAAAAGUGAAAGACGGUCUUGCUGUCACUUAUAGAUGGAUCCGCGCUGCAUUAGCUAGUUGGUAAGGUAACGGCUUACCAAGGCAACGAUGCAUAGCCGACCUGAGAGGGUGAUCGGCCACACUGGAACUGAGACACGGUCCAGACUCCUACGGGAGGCAGCAGUAGGGAAUCUUCCGCAAUGGGCGAAAGCCUGACGGAGCAACGCCGCGUGAGUGACGAAGGUCUUCGGAUCGUAAAACUCUGUUAUUAGGGAAGAACAUAUGUGUAAGUAACUGUGCACAUCUUGACGGUACCUAAUCAGAAAGCCACGGCUAACUACGUG
rnacentral:rRNA from 1 species